UACGUAGGUGGCAAGCGUUGUCCGGAUUUACUGGGCGUAAAGAGCGCGCAGGCGGUCGUGCAAGUCGCGUGUGAAAGCCCCCGGCUCAACUGGGGAGGGUCACGCGAUACUGCUCGACUUGAAGGCAGGAGAGGGAAGUGGAAUUCCCGGUGUAGUGGUGAAAUGCGUAGAUAUCGGGAGGAACACCUGUGGCGAAAGCGGCGCACUGGACCACAACUGACGCUGAGGCGCGAAAGCUAGGGGAGCAAACAGG
rnacentral:rRNA from 1 species